rnacentral:tRNA from 1 species
AUGGCUGAGCGGUAAAGCACUAAGCUUCCAAACUGGAGGUCCUGGUUUCAAAUACUAGU